UAGGGAAUCUUCCACAAUGGACGCAAGUCUGAUGGAGCAACGCCGCGUGAGUGAAGAAGGUCUUCGGAUCGUAAAGUUCUGUUGUUGGUGAAGAAGGAUAGAGGCAGUAACUGGUCUUUAUUUGACGGUAAUCAACCAGAAAGUCACGGCUAACUACGUGCCAGCAGCCGCGGUAAUACGUAGGUGGCAAGCGUUGUCCGGAUUUAUUGGGCGUAAAGCGAGCGCAGGCGGAAUGAUAAGUCUGAUGUGAAAGCCCACGGCUCAACCGUGGAACUGCAUCGGAAACUGUCAUUCUUGAGUGCAGAAGAGGAGAGUGGAACUCCAUGUGUAGCGGUGGAAUGCGUAGAUAUAUGGAAGAACACCAGUGGCGAAGGCGGCUCUCUGGUCUGCAACUGACGCUGAGGCUCGAAAGCAUGGGUAGCGAACAGGAUUAGAUACCCUGGUAGUCCAUGCCGUAAACGAUGAGCGCUAGGUGUUGGGGACUUUCCGGUUCUCAGUGCCGCAGCAAACGCAUUAAGCGCUCCGCCUGGGGAGUACGACCGCAAGGUUGAAACG
rnacentral:rRNA from 1 species